rnacentral:misc_RNA from 1 species
AAGUCGUAACAAGGUUUCCGUAGGUGAACCUGCGGAAGGGAUCAUUAGUAAUGGAGAGUCCGGACCAUGUUCGUGGGCGGGAAAGCUCGCACGUGCCAGUAAGCGCCCGUAAACCCUCCUACCCUUGUGUAUUUAUUCUUCUGUUGCUUUGGCAGGCCGCGGACCCCUCUGGGGGAGACGUCUGGCUUCGGCUGGAGAGUUGCCUGCCAGAGGACCAACUUCUGUAAUUUAAUGCCGUCUGAGUACUACGAAAAUAGAUUAAAA